rnacentral:misc_RNA from 1 species
AACCUAGCACACCUGCGGUGUGUACCUGCGGAAGGAUCAUUACCGAGUUUACAACUCCCAAACCCCUGUGAACAUGUUGCCUCGGCGGAUCAGCCCGCUCCCGGUAAAACGGGACGGCCCGCCAGAGGACCCCUAAACUCUGUUUCUAUAUGUAACUUCUGAGUAAAACCAUAAAUAAAUCAAAACUUUCAACAACGGAUCU